rnacentral:rRNA from 1 species
UACGGGGGGGGCAAGCGUUGUUCGGAAUUACUGGGCGUAAAGGGCGCGUAGGCGGCGUGUUAAGUCAGCUGUGAAAUCUCCGAGCUUAACUCGGAACGGUCAGCUGAUACUGAUGUGCUAGAGUGCAGAAGGGGCAAUCGGAAUUCUUGGUGUAGCGGUGAAAUGCGUAGAUAUCAAGAGGAACACCUGAGGUGAAGACGGGUUGCUGGGCUGACACUGACGCUGAGGCGCGAAAGCCAGGGGAGCAAACGGG